GGGCCCGCACAAGCAGCGGAGCGUGUGGUUCAAUUCGAUGCGACACGAAGAACCUUACCUAGGCUUGACAUGUACGUGGUAGUGAAGCGAAAGCGGAACGACCCGCAAGGGAGCGUACACAGGUGUUGCAUGGCUGUCGUCAGCUCGUGCCGUGAGGUGUUGGGUUGAGUCCCGCAACGAGCGCAACCCUCGCCAUUAGUUACAAGUGUCUAAUGGGACUGCCGGGAUAAACUCGGAGGAAGGCGGGGAUGAGGUCAAGUCAGCAUGACCUUUAUGUCUAGGGCUACACACACGCUACAAUGGGCAGGCACAAUGGGAUGCGAAGCCGCGAGGCGGAGCCAAUCCUACAAAAUUGCCCUCAGUUCAGAUUGCAGGCUGCAACCCGCCUGCAUGAAGUCGGAGUUGCUAGUAAACGCAGGUCAGCCAUACUGCGUUGAAUACGUUCCCGGGCCUU
rnacentral:rRNA from 1 species